rnacentral:lncRNA from 1 species
GGCUGAGCGGGAGGUGGGAGCAAGUACCAAAGAAGUACCAAAAAAGACCGGGUGAGGUGGGAUGAAAAUAAAACCCGGAACGCAACCUAUCAACUGAGACAUUAGGAGUAGAGAUAUUAACAAAAGUGCAGAUCACGUCCCACUCUUCACUUUUUGACAAAAAACUUCCAAAUAGCAAUCUUGGUGAGUGAUCUCGACCGGGUUCGAUCGGCAUGGCGUGUCGUUCCUCCAGGAGUGGGUGCUGAGAGGAAGGAUGGCAAACCUCCAUUGUCAAUCGGCCAGAGCUGCAUCGUCAUUUGGAUCAGAGCAUGGACGAAAUCGAGAUGGUAGAGGUUGAGGAAUUUGUAGGACGUGAGGGUUUAGGGUGGGCAUCACGAGAACUCACCCAUAUCUUGGGAGACGGCAGACCCGAGGUGCAGUCGUGUUCGUGCUUCAGGGGCUGCCACGUGCUGUCCUCGCCGCCAUCGCCUGUCGAUGCCACUUCAGCGCCACGAGCAUGGG